GUCGAACACCCUCCGCGCCGCACAGACAAGCUUCGCCACGUCAUCCGCCACCUCGACCUCCCGGCCCCACCUGUCAGCGCCUCGGGCUAGAUCCCGCGUUGCAUUUGCUUCUUCCCGGAUAGGAUCACGAAGUGGUGUUGUGAGAUACGACAAGUUUUUCUGCAGCUUUUCACAGGCGAGCCCUCUCUCUUCACCUAUUACACACUCUCCCUCGCAUUGCUAUCCUUAUGUUGCGCUUCUUUAUCGAGUCACGUGUCCUAUUCCACUUGUUUACCCUAAUAAUCCUAUAUGCAUCAUUCCUUACCCAUAGCCGUUGCUUGAUGUUUGAGCCUUGCGAGUCGUAGGCGUGUUUAGGUUCUGUUGUUUAUCUCGAUCUGUUAUCGGGAUAUGUUGGGUUGUUGGGAGGUUAUCACAUGCUAUAUCAAUUGUUGGAGAUAUUCAUGCUUUACUUUAUUGUUAACAACUAAAAUUGUAAGCAGAGGCAUCUGUGAGCCCCUUUGCGAAAGCAUCGGAACUUUGACUUGCUAA